rnacentral:rRNA from 1 species
AGAGCGAACGCUGGCGGCAGGCCUAACACAUGCAAGUCGAGCGCCCGUAGCAAUACGGGAGCGGCAGACGGGAUAGUAACACGUGGGAACGCGCCCUUCGGUUCGGAAUAACUCAGGGAAACUUGAGCUAAUACCGAAUACGCCCUUACGGGGAAAGAUUUAUUGCCGAAGGAACGGCCCGCGUCCGAUUAGCUAGUUGGUGAGGUAAUGGCUCACCAAGGCUACGAUCGGUAGCUGGUCUGAGAGGAUGACCAGCAUCACUGGGACUGAGACACGGCCCAGACUCCUACGGGAGGCAGCAGUGGGGAAUAUUGGACAAUGGGCGCAAGCCUGAUCCAGCCAUGCCGCGUGGAUGGAUGAAGGCCUUAGGGUUGUAAAGUCCUUUUAACGGGAAGAUAAUGACGGUACCCGUAGAAUAAGCCCCGGCUAACUUCGUGCCAGCAGCCGC